GACGUAGGGCGCGAGCGUUGUCCGGAUUUAUUGGGCGUAAAGAGCUCGUAGGCGGCUUGUCGCGUCGUCCGUGAAAACCCACAGCUCAACUGUGGGCUUGCGGUCGAUACGGGCAGGCUAGAGUUCGGUAGGGGAGACUGGAAUUCCUGGUGUAGCGGUGAAAUGCGCAGAUAUCAAGUGGAACACCAGUGGCGAAGGCGAGUCUCUGGACAUUUCCUGACGCUGAGGCACGAAAGCCAGGGGAGCAAACGGG
rnacentral:rRNA from 1 species